GGCUCGUUGGUCUAGGGGUAUGAUUCUUGCUUAGGGUGCGAGAGGUCCUGGGUUCAAAUCCCGGACGAGCCC
rfam:Danio rerio chromosome 4, GRCz11 reference primary assembly.